rnacentral:misc_RNA from 1 species
GAUGAAGAACGUAGCGAAAUGCGAUAAGUAAUGUGAAUUACAGAAUUCAGUGAAUCAUCGAAUCUUUGAACGCACAUUGCGCCCCCUGGUAUUCCGGGGGGCAUGCCUGUUCGAGCGUCAUUUCACCACUCAAGCCUCGCUUGGUAUUGGGCAACGCGGUCCGCCGCGUGCCUCAAAUCGACCGGCUGGGUCUUCUGUCCCCUAAGCGUUGUGGAAACUAUUCGCUAAAGGGUGUUCGGGAGGCUACGCCGUAAAACAACCCCAUUUCUAAGGUUGACCUCGGAUCAGGUAGGGAUACCCGCUGAACUUAAGCAUAUCAAUAAGCGGAGGA